rnacentral:rRNA from 1 species
GGAUUAGAUACCCUGGUAGUCCACGCAGUAAACGAUGAAUACUAACUGUUGGCGAUAUAGUGUCAGUGGUAAAGCGAAAGCGUUAAGUAUUCCACCUGGGGAGUACGCCGGCAACGGUGAAACUCAAAGGAAUUGACGGGGGCCCGCACAAGCGGAGGAACAUGUGGUUUAAUUCGAUGAUACGCGAGGAACCUUACACGGGCUUGAAAGUAGGGAGAUCGUCUUGGAAACAGGACUUUCAGCAAUGACUGCCUACGAGGUGCUGCAUGGUUGUCGUCAGCUCGUGCCG